rnacentral:rRNA from 2 species
AACAAGGUCUCCGUUGGUGAACCAGCGGAGGGAUCAUUAUCGAGUUAUUCAACUCCCAAACCCUAUGUGAACUUACCACUUGUUGCUUCGGCGCGCGCUUCGGCGCCGCCGAGGACACUUAAACUCUUUGUUUUUAUAAGCAUUUCUGAGUGGCCGAAAGGCAAAAAUACAAAUGAAUCAAAACUUUCAACAACGGAUCUCUUGGUUCUGGCAUCGAUGAAGAACGCAGCGAAAUGCGAUAAGUAAUGUGAAUUGCAGAAUUCAGUGAAUCAUCGAAUCUUUGAACGCACAUUGCGCCCGCCAGCAUUCUGGCGGGCAUGCCUGUUCGAGCGUCAUUUCAACCCUCGAGCCCGACUCUUUUGAGGACGGCUCGGCGUUGGGGGACGGCAGACUCCCCCCGGCAUCUCGCCGGGGACGCCGCCCCCGAAAUCUAGUGGCGGCCCUCCGAGGCGACCUCUGCGUAGUAACUUGUUCUCGCACCGGAAAGCUCAGAGCGGCCACGCCGUAAAACCCCAACUUUUUUCAGGUUGACCUCGAAUCAGGUAGGACUACCCGCUGAACUUAAGCAUAUCAA